CCGGGGGAAGGCUCGUGCGCUAGGGGUUAGUAGGGUCCUAAGGUGAGGGCGACAGGCGUAGGCGAUGGAUAACAGGUUGAUAUUCCUGUAACACAAAAAAUCGUUUUAAGCGAUGGGGGGACGCAGUAGGAUAGGAGAAGCGUGCUGUUGGAGUGGACGUCCAAGCAGUGAGACUGAGUGUUAGGCAAAUCCGGCACUCAAAAGGUCAAGCUGUGAUGGGGAGAGGAAAGUGUUUCCUCGAGUCGUUGAUUUCACACUGCCGAGAAAAGCCUCUAGCUAGAAAGUUGGUGCCCGUACCGCAAACCGAAACAGGUAGUCAAGAUGAGAAUUCUAAGGUGAGCGAGCGAACUCUCGUUAAGGAACUCGGCAAAAUGACCCCGUAACUUCGGGAGAAGGGGUGCUCUUUAGGGUUUACGCUCUGAAGAGCCGCAGUGAAUAGGCCCAAGCGACUGUUUAUCAAAAACACAGGUCUCUGCUAAACCGUAAGGUGACGUAUAGGGGCUGACGCCUGCCCGGUGCUGGA
rnacentral:rRNA from 1 species